GACGUAGGGUGCAAGCGUUGUCCGGAUUUACUGGGCGUAAAGAGCGCGUAGGCGGCUCGUUAAGUGAGAAGUGAAAGCUCUGGGCUCAACCCAGAAACCGCUUUUCAUACUGGCGAGCUGGAGUGAUGCAGAGGUGGAUAGAAUUCCCGGUGUAGCGGUGAAAUGCGUUGAUAUCGGGAGGAAUACCCGUGGCGAAGGCGGUCCACUGGGCAUCAACUGACGCUGAGGCGCGAAAGCGUGGGUAGCAAACAGG
rnacentral:rRNA from 1 species